rnacentral:tRNA from 1 species
GGGGCUGUGGCACAGCAGGUUAAUGCCCUGGCUUGAAGUGCCGGCAUCCCAUAUGGGCGCAGGUUCGAGACCCGGCAGCUCCA